AGCGAACGCUGGCGGCAGGCUUAACACAUGCAAGUCGAGCGGGCACUUUCGGGUGUCAGCGGCGGACGGGUGAGUAACGCGUGGGAACGUGCCCUCUGGUUCGGAAUAACUCAGGGAAACUUGAGCUAAUACCGGAUACGCCCUUUUGGGGAAAGGCUUGCUGCCGGAGGAUCGGCCCGCGUCUGAUUAGCUAGUUGGUGAGGUAACGGCUCACCAAGGCGACGAUCAGUAGCUGGUCUGAGAGGAUGAUCAGCCACACUGGGACUGAGACACGGCCCAGACUCCUACGGGAGGCAGCAGUGGGGAAUAUUGGACAAUGGGCGCAAGCCUGAUCCAGCCAUGCCGCGUGAGUGAGGAAGGCCUUAGGGUUGUAAAGCUCUUUUAUCCGGGACGAUAAUGACGGUACCGGAGGAAUAAGCCACGGCUAACUUCGUG
rnacentral:rRNA from 1 species